rnacentral:rRNA from 1 species
CAGGCCUAACACAUGCAAGUCGAGCGGAAACGAUGGGAGCUUGCUCCCAGGCGUCGAGCGGCGGACGGGUGAGUAACGCGUAGGAAUCUGCCCAGUAGAGGGGGAUAGCCCGGGGAAACCCGGAUUAAUACCGCAUACGCCCUACGGGGGAAAGGCCGGGAUCUUCGGACCGGUCACUAUUGGAGGAGCCUGCGUGAGAUUAGCUUGUUGGUGGGGUAAUGGCCUACCAAGGCGACGAUCUCAAGCUGGUCUGAGAGGACGAUCAGCCACACCGGAACUGAGACACGGUCCGGACUCCUACGGGAGGCAGCAGUGGGGAAUAUUGGACAAUGGGGGCAACCCUGAUCCAGCCAUGCCGCGUGUGUGAAGAAGGCCUUCGGGUUGUAAAGCACUUUAAGCAGUGAGGAAGGCUUUGAGGUUAAUAGCCUCAAGGAUUGACGUUAACUGCAGAAUAAGCACCGGCUAACUCCGUGCCAGCAGCCGCGGUAAUACGGAGGGUGCAAGCGUUAAUCGGAAUUACUGGGCGUAAAGCGCGCGUAGGUGGUUUGUUAAGUCAGAUGUGAAAGCCCAGGGCUCAACCUUGGAACUGCAUCUGAUACUGGCAGGCUAGAGUAUGGUAGAGGGAGGUAGAAUUCCACGUGUAGCGGUG